rnacentral:rRNA from 1 species
UCUAACAUGUGCGCGAGUCAUUGGGUUGACACUAAACCUAAAGGCGCAAUGAAAGUGAAGGUCCCGCCUCGUGCGGACCGAGGGAAGAUGGGCCGCGCUGCUGUGCGGCUCCGCAUUCCCGGGGCGUCUCGUUCUCAUUGCGAGUUGAGGCGCACCCAGAGCGUACACGUUGGGACCCGAAAGAUGGUGAACUAUGCCUGGCCAGGACGAAGUAGCGAUUCUGACGUGCAAAUCGAUCGUCGGAGCUGGGUAUAGGGGMGAAAGACUAAUCGAACCAUCUAGUAGCUGGUUCCCUCCGAAGUUUCCCUCAGGAUAGCUGGUGCUCGAACGAGUCUCAUCCGGUCAAGCCAAUGACAGUUUUGAGGCCGCGAGAAUAAUUUUCUUGGAUCGGAGUGCCAAGUGGGCCACUUUUGGU